CUAUCAUAUGAGACAUGCUUAAAGGGACCAUGCACAUCCACCAGAGACCAUGAAGUCCCAAUUGGGUUUAAAGAAGAGAGUCCUUCUCUGUGGGAAAAAAAGAGAGGAACAAUUAUUAUUCAUGGUCAUCUUUGUCUAGUCUCCUACAACACAUGCAUGGAACAGCUUAUUAUACAGGUGAUACUCGAAAAAUUAGAAUAUCAUGCAAAAGUUCAUUUAUUUCAGUAAUGCAACGUAAAAGGGGAAACUAAUGUAUAAGAUAGACGCAUUACAUGCAAAGCAAGAUAAUUCAAGCCGUGAUUUGUCAUAAGUGCGAUGAUGCUCUGCCAGGCCUCUACUGCAACUGUCUUCAGUUCCUGCUUGGGGCAUUUUCCCUUCAAUUUUGUCUUCAUCAAGUGAAAUGCAUACUCAAUCGGAUUCAGGUCAGGUGAUUGACUUGGCCAUUGCAUAACAUUCCACUUCUUUCCCUUAAAAAAAAACUCUUUGGUUGCUUUUGCUGUAUGCUUCGGGUCAUUGUCCAUCUGUACUGUGAAGCGCCGUCCAAUGAGUUCUGAAG